rnacentral:rRNA from 1 species
CCUACGGGGGGCAGCAGUGAGGAAUAUUGGACAAUGGGCGCAAGCCUGAUCCAGCCAUGCCGCGUGCAGGAUGACGGUCCUAUGGAUUGUAAACUGCUUUUGCACAGGAAGAAACACCCCCUCGUGAGGGGGCUUGACGGUACUGUGAGAAUAAGGAUCGGCUAACUCCGUGCCAGCAGCCGCGGUAAUACGGAGGAUCCAAGCGUUAUCCGGAAUCAUUGGGUUUAAAGGGUCCGUAGGCGGUUUAGUAAGUCAGUGGUGAAAGCCCAUCGCUCAACGGUGGAACGGCCAUUGAUACUGCUAGACUUGAAUUAUUAGGAAGUAACUAGAAUAUGUAGUGUAGCGGUGAAAUGCUUAGAGAUUACAUGGAAUACCAAUUGCGAAGGCAGGUUACUACUAAUGGAUUGACGCUGAUGGACGAAAGCGUGGGUAGCGAACAGGAUUAGAUACCCGAGUAGUC